GAUGAAGAACGUAGCAAAAUGCGAUAAGUAAUGCGAAUUGCAGAAUUUCCGUGAGUCAUCGAAUCUUUGAACGCACAUUGCGCCCACUGGUAUUCCGGUGGGCAUGCCUGUUCGAGCGUCAUUAUCCUCCCUCAAAACUCCUGUUUUGGUGUUGGGCCGCGUUGGUCACCUCCGACCAACGGGCCUUAAAGACAAUGACGGCGUCCGUGGGACCCUCUUCGCAGUGAGCUUUUGUUAGCGCGCGUUGAGUUUAAAGGACCUUCCGGGCCGGCCACCUUUUAUCUAUUUUACAAGGUUGACCUCGGAUCAGGUAGGAAUACCCGCUGAACUUAAGCAUAUCAAUAAGCGGAGGA
rnacentral:misc_RNA from 1 species